AAAUAGAAGCUCAGGGAGGAAGAGGAGUGGAUUGAUCUUUUACACAUUAUUUGUCUCAUAACAUACUGUCACAAUGUGGUGCCAAUUUCAACAAAUAUGUAAAAAA